rnacentral:rRNA from 1 species
AUUGAACGCUGGCGGCAUGCCUUACACAUGCAAGUCGAACGGCAGCACGGGUGCUUGCACCUGGUGGCGAGUGGCGAACGGGUGAGUAAUACAUCGGAACAUGUCCUGUAGUGGGGGAUAGCCCGGCGAAAGCCGGAUUAAUACCGCAUACGAUCCACGGAUGAAAGCGGGGGACCUUCGGGCCUCGCGCUAUAGGGUUGGCCGAUGGCUGAUUAGCUAGUUGGUGGGGUAAAGGCCUACCAAGGCGACGAUCAGUAGCUGGUCUGAGAGGACGACCAGCUACACUGGGACUGAGACACGGCCCAGACUCCUACGGGAGGCAGCAGUGGGGAAUUUUGGACAAUGGGCGAAAGCCUGAUCCAGCAAUGCCGCGUGUGUGAAGAAGGCCUUCGGGUUGUAAAGCACUUUUGUCCGGAAAGAAAUCCUUGACUCUAAUACAGUCGGGGGAUGACGGUACCGGAAGAAUAAGCACCGGCUAACUACGUG